UUGAAUGAACUUGGUAUGGUUGUUGCUGGCCCUCUUGGGGGCAUGUGCACGCCUGCCAUCCUCAUAUUUCCACCUGUGCACUUAUGUAGGCUUGGAUUGACUUUCCGAGGCAACUCGGUCGGGAGGACUGCUGGGAGGAAUACUCUCUGGCUUUCCUUGUAUUUCCAAGUCUAUGUCUUUCAUAUACUCCAUUGUAUGUAACAGAAUGCAUCAUUGGGCCCUUAGUGCCUAUAAAAUUUAUA
rnacentral:misc_RNA from 1 species